GACUAUGAUAGUCGUAAGCUGGGAUAAGCUUGGUGCUACUUCUUUGUUUUCUUUGCUUUUAUUAUUUUCUUAUAAAGAAUUGUGAUUGAGAGAAGUAUUGUUGAAACUGUGAUUAGAAUAUUGUAGAAUAUGACUUUGGAUUGACUAUUUUGGAGAAAAUCUGUGACCUUGAGAGUUGAGAUUAUUGAAUUGUGUUGUGUUAAGUGAAGAUAUUAAAUUUUGUAUAAUGAAUUGAGAAACUAAAUAUAAUAAGUAAGUUGGAGAUCAGUAAUUGAAUAUAUAUAAAUCACAAAGAGAGUAAGUGGGAGAUGAAUUGAUAAAAAUAUGGAAAUAUUGUUGAAUUGAUAGUUGCUGAAUGGAUUAUGUGUUGAAUUAAGAUAGAAGUAGUAAGCCUUGGUAUUUUGUAGUUUGAUAAUUGAUUUUAGAUAGCUAGAGUACAGUCAAUUGUGACACUAACAUACCUAAUUCAUAUAACUAGUCUUUUUCCAUGUUCGAACCUACUUAUAUUAGUUCAAUUGCUUUGAUAUACUGAAGCUUGAACACAACGAGAACAAUAAUGUCCAAUGUUUUUUAGAAUUUUCUAACUAUUGUCAAAUCUUUAUCAAAGACUUCUUU
rnacentral:lncRNA from 1 species